rnacentral:rRNA from 1 species
AACGAACGCUGGCGGCAGGCUUAACACAUGCAAGUCGAGCGCCCCGCAAGGGGAGCGGCAGACGGGUGAGUAACACGUGGGAAUCUACCCAUCCCUACGGAACAACUCCGGGAAACUGGAGCUAAUACCGUAUACGCCCUUAGGGGGAAAGAUUUAUCGGGGAUGGAUGAGCCCGCGUUGGAUUAGCUAGUUGGUGGGGUAAAGGCCUACCAAGGCGACGAUCCAUAGCUGGUCUGAGAGGAUGAUCAGCCACAUUGGGACUGAGACACGGCCCAAACUCCUACGGGAGGCAGCAGUGGGGAAUAUUGGACAAUGGGCGCAAGCCUGAUCCAGCCAUGCCGCGUGAGUGAUGAAGGCCUUAGGGUUGUAAAGCUCUUUCACCGAUGAAGAUAAUGACGGUAGUCGGAGAAGAAGCCCCGGCUAACUUCGUGCCAGCCGCCGCCGUAACAC